GACGAACGCUGGCGGCGUGCCUAAUACAUGCAAGUAGAACGCUGAAGGAGGAGCUUGCUUCUCUGGAUGAGUUGCGAACGGGUGAGUAACGCGUAGGUAACCUGCCUGGUAGCGGGGGAUAACUAUUGGAAACGAUAGCUAAUACCGCAUAAGAGUAGAUGUUGCAUGACAUUUGCUUAAAAGGUGCAAUUGCAUCACUACCAGAUGGACCUGCGUUGUAUUAGCUAGUUGGUGGGGUAACGGCUCACCAAGGCGACGAUACAUAGCCGACCUGAGAGGGUGAUCGGCCACACUGGGACUGAGACACGGCCCAGACUCCUACGGGAGGCAGCAGUAGGGAAUCUUCGGCAAUGGACGGAAGUCUGAUCGAGCAACGCCGCGUGAGUGAAGAAGGUUUUCGGAUCGUAAAGCUCUGUUGUAAGAGAAGAACGAGUGUGAGAGUGGAAAGUUCACACUGUGACGGUAUCUUAUCAGAAAGGGACGGCUAACUACGUG
rnacentral:rRNA from 1 species